rnacentral:tRNA from 1 species
CGGUGCGGAGUGACGGGUCACGGGUCCGGUGCGGACCCGCGAUCAUCCGUCCGACUCGGGUUGAGCCGA